rnacentral:rRNA from 1 species
UUCGGAUUGUAGUCAGCAACUCGACUACAUGAAGCUGGAAUCGCUGGUAAUCGCGAAUCAGAAUGUCGCGGUGAAUACGUUCCCGGGUCUUGUACACACCGCCCGUCACACCAUGGGAGUCAGUAACGCCCGAAGUCAGUGACCCAACCAAUCAGGAGGGAGCUGCCGAAGGUGGGACCGAUAACUGGGGUGAAGUCGUAACAAGGUAUC